GGCCUGAAGGUUUGUGCUGAUGGCACCCAGUAAGCAUCCUGUCACAUGCUUUCAGCUGAAUUAUGUAUAUCCAAAUUCAUCUAAACCCCGCUCCACCCCCUCAGCACCUGUGCGUGUGAUGGAAACUGGAGUAAGGUCUUCAGGGGAGAAAUCAAGUUAAAGCGAGAUCAUUUAAUGAGUGGGCCCUGGCACUGCUAUCAUUGAGGUCUGAAGACAAAGAAAUCUAGGGAGGAAGUCACAGGAUCAACGGAGAGACAAGUUGGAGUGAAGAAAUCUCGAGUGAAGGUCAAUCAUACAUUGCCAGCAAACAGAAAUAACAGGGAGUGGGCGGGAAUUGUUGCUCAGAUCAUUGAGAAUGAGCCUGGCUCUCCAGACACACUGACUGGAUGACCCACCAGCUUCCAGAGCGUGGAGAAGACGUUCUCUGCUGUGGAAGCUGUUUGAUUUGUGGUAUUUGCUCACAGUGACCCUAGGAAAUUACAUCACCCACGUCAUCCAAAAGGAGGAAGGUUUGUUCUGGUUCAUAGUUUACAGGAUUUUGUUUUGAGGUUAAAUGGCUUCAUUGCUUCUGGGCAGGACCAUGGGGAUCAUGGAUGGAGCAACACAGUUCACCUUGUAACAACUGGGAAGCCGGGAAAGAGCAAAGGACAAGCCUCCUUCUCCAUAUCACCAUCUUCAAAGAAAGGAAGCGGCCAGCAAUCUAUUUCCCACAUGGGCAUCAAUUACUACAGUCAGAGACCUUUACAAGGACAAGGUCUCCACGACUACUUCAGACACGGACAUGUGUCCCAUGUUUCCCUUCAAAGGUUGAUGCCUCUUGUGCGUCUCUGACACAAGGCACCAGGUAUGUUGCUGUGUUACUAGAUACCACAGCAAUUGUAAUUCCUCACACUAGAAAAGCAAGGUUAAAUCAGUUGUGACAGACAGGAAAAGAUUACCUCAGGGAGGUGUGACUGUCAUAAUAUUGUAUAUAUCUCUUUAAGAAUAAUUCCCUCCAACAUGCCUAAAUCCUGAUAGACCAUUUUCACAACAUAUUAGAG
rnacentral:lncRNA from 1 species